UCAAAAAAAAAGAACAGUGACACAUUUAUAUUUAAAAAUAUUUUCAUUUUUUCACAAUAUUUUUAAUGGUGACCACCCCUAUGGUGGGGUAGCGCCACUAAGACCGGCUAUUGUUGGAAUAAUGAAUAUGGGCAACUUUACCCCAAUCCUGUUAUUACUACAUAUUAAUAACUGACACGUUGACCAGCCAAUGACAGUGCAGCAUAAACAUCAAUAACACCUGGCAAGUACUGUAUGUACAUGUUAUUUAUAUUUUUGGCUUGUUUUUUCAGUGAUAAACAGUCAGAUGCUGAGUGGGAAUAUUCAAUAUAAUUUUGCCCCAAGUCCUGGAUGGUCGGUUUGAAUCUGUAUGUGUGUGUGGGAUUGCUCUUCCUCCCACAUUCCCAAAACAUGCAUGUUCAUUGAAUGCAUUUUCAUGACACUGACAUAUCGGCCGGCCAGUGAUAGCGCAGCAUCUUCCAGGUCCGACACCAAAGAUCUCUUUCCAAACAUCUUUUCCAAAGUGUUCCCACAGGAGUGCGAGACGGUCUAUUUCCCUUUUCCUGUACGCAUAAUGGCUUCCCGCCCCGCCGCGUUUUCCCAUUUACCGAGCUGACUUUUAACGUCUCAUUUGAUACCCAACGCAUCCUGUUUUAUAGUUCAAAAAUCACAAGGAGCUCUUAAAGCCCUGCACGGCCUACUUAUCGGACUUGAGCGUCGAGGCCGUGUGUCGUCUUAGCGCUUUUCCUUCGAGAGGAUACGAGAUGCAUUAGGCUCAAGAUGGAGAAGGAGUCCAGCGUCGCAGCUUCCUGGAUCCUCCUAUUGUUUACGCCUGCUGUUUAAAUUUUCCCACAGGGGGAGAGGAAAGGCGCCCGCAUCACGGUUUUCAACUUUACGAGUGCCUCGAUUAUUUCGGGCUUCGCGGUUACAGAUCCGAGGAGAUGUUCCAAAGUAGUCCCGGCGUCAUUGUCUGGGCAUCGUCCACUUCCUUUUUUGUUUCACGCUAAAUAGUCAACGUGACCCUGCGUUGCGCUUGUAUCAUCCUAAAACUCUCUGAGGGGGACGUUGGUCAUUUCUGUUCCUUUUUUUAACCUUUUUAGCUGUGGUAAAGACAUUUCCGGAGGGACUGGAUUUGUGUCUUGUCUUAUUUCCAUUGUCUGCUCCAUGAUUAUGCUAUUUACAUCAAAUCACUCCUUUUGGCACUAUCGUGGCUACUUUUAGCCAACGGAAACCCAUAAAAGUGAUUUUUUUUCAAAAUCCUUGUUAAAUACUAGAUUGAAUUAAAUCAUUUAUGUCAAGUGACACUGGUCUGGUCCGCUCCUUUCUCCCUGUGCCUGGGUGAAAUUCUCUGGGUACUCUGGUUUCCUUCAUAUUCCCCAAAAAAUGGAUGGCAGGUUAAUUAAAAUGAAUACCAGCAAAUAUCCAACCGCGUUCAUUCAAAGGCUAUGUGGGUUGAGUGUCUUGCCCAGUGACACCACGGCAACAUGUACUUGGUCGACCUUUCGGUUGCAGGGUGUAUGCUUAGCUUUUGCACCGUGACACCAUCCAUCCAUCCAUUUUCUUUGCUGCUUAUCCUCACUCGGGUUGUGGGGAGUGCUGGAGCUUACACCAGCUGUCAACGGGCAGGAGGCGGAGUACACCCUGAACUGGUUGCCAGUCAAUCGCAGGGCACAUUGAGACAAACAGCCGCACUCACGGUCACACCUAGGGGCAAUUUAGAGUGUUCAAUUAAUGUUGAAUGUUUUUGGAAUGUGGGGGCGAAACCGGAGUGCCCGGGGGAAACCCGCGCAGGUACGGGGAGAACAUGCAAACUCUACACAGGCAGGUCCGGGAUUGAACCCGGUACCUUCGAACUGUGAGGCCAAUCCUUAACAAGCUGAUACACCGUGCCACACCUGCACCAUGACACCUCAAAAUAAAUUGUCCGUAGGUGCGAAUAUAUAUUUUUUGUCUAUGCAUGCCCUGUGACUGGCUAGCGAGCAGUUUAGUGUGUACCGCGCCUCUUGACCAAAGUCAGCUGGGAUUGGCUCGUGCACACCCACGACCCGAGUGAGGAUAAGCGUGACGAAGAGGGGAUGGAUGAGCUCUUAGUUUCUGUAAAAUCUGUUUAAUGGCGCCAUAAUGCAACAAAUGAAUGAUGCAAUUUUGAUUUUAAGAAGUGGAGAUGUCCUGUUUUGAACACGAAGUAUUACAUUUCAACAUAAAAGUGGAAGUUUAUAUGCUAGCUGUUGAAAUAUUCCACUACUACUCAAGUAGCUGUAUAACCUUAUAAUAUACAGUACUCAGACAGUUUAGUUUUUGUCUCAAGUUUCAAGACCAAGCAGUUUGCUUUACAUGUGCUUGCAACAGUUUGGCAGAUAGGGAACAAUUUUUUUUUUCAAAACAGAGACCAAACGCUUGCCAUCCAUCCAUCCAUCCAUCCAUCCAUCCAUCCAUCCAUCCAUCCAUCCAUCCAUCCAUCCAUCCAUUUCCUGAGCUGCUUACUCUCACAAGUGUUGUGUGAGUGCUGGAGCCAAUCCCAGCUGUCAUCGGGUAGGAGGCACACUGAACUGGUUGCCAGCCAAUCGCAGGCCAUUCACACUCACAUUCACACCUAUGGGCAAUUUAGACUCUCCAGUUAAUGCAUGUUUUUGGGAUGUGAGAAGAAACCAGAGCACCUGGAGAAACCUCACACAAGCACAGAGGGAGAACAUGCAAUAUAAAUAUAAAAAUGUAUGCGAGCUACAAACAGGAUGGAAGGGUAGUGCAAUCAAAUACGAAGUGAUGGAUCAACACAUCACGUUUAUUUAUUAUUUUUUUGCUUUAAAAAAAAAAAAGAUUUGUCUUUCUGGAGCGCCUAUUUUCAUAAGGCCUCCAAAUAAGGAUAGUGACUAAUGUCCCAGGUCGGCACAAGGCGACACGCAUGUGCGGCUGGAGCCCUGAUUCCAGUGUUUAUUUUAGCCGAGCGUAUCCCAGCACCUCUCAUCACCCAUGCGGCCGCGCGGGGGGGGGAGGCGGCAGGGAGAGAUAACGGCGGUCGGACUGAUUGCGUUUUCCCGUCUAUUUGCGCCCUACCCUGGGCCUUUCCCGUCCGUGACGUUUUAAGAAGCUCACAAAAGAUUUGCUUGGUUGUAUAAUUUCACCCUCGGUGGGUGGGCAGGCACCACAGAGGCCGAACAUUUUUGUAUACAAUCAAUUAAAAAGUUUAUUCACGCGGCCUUUGCGGCUUCCCGUAUUGAGAUAAUCGGCGGGCGCUGAUGUCAGCACCACACGCAUCCGAAACAAUUUGUCUUGAAGAACCUGUCCGUGAGAGACUUUGGAAACCCAAAUAACAGCCAGAGGAGUAAUACAUGCUGACUGAAUUGAAUAGGAUACCUUAUGCGCUAUUGUAGAUUGGAAAUGCCGUACAGGGGUGUCAAAAUUAAGAUUAACAUUUAUUGUCAUGGUCUCCAAUUUGGUUGGGUGGUUUUGUUUGUUUCUUGUGUUCAAAUUAUCGUGUGCUCAUUUUGUUAGCCGUGUCCACUUGUUCGCGUUUUCCCUCCUCCCUUGUGUUGACCCAUCAGCUAUCUGUGCCCUUACCAUUGUCUCUCUGUACCAAGUCUUGUUUCUAGGUUAGGUUUAUUUAAGGUUUUCUUAGACUGAUUAGUUUUCUUUUAUUUCAAAUUAAUCAAACAUUUUUUGAGAGUCAUGGACUCCUGCCCUGCAUCCUUGCUUCCCUGCACUUGGGUCAUCCUUGUCUUUGCCGAUUCCUCACCUUCACUACUCCCGACCGUGACAGUUAAAUAACUUAUAACUCAGAUAAGUUGACUGGAAAAUAGGGUAACAAAAACAAAUAAAUACAUAAAUUAGAAAGAACACUCCACCCAGGAAGAGAUUUCUCCCACCGGAAGUAAUGUUUCAAACGGACAUUUAUUGCAGACGGACGCAAUGGUGGGCUGCUGAUAAAGUUUGGAGAAAACGACAGAGGAGCGUCUCCUGUGGUGUGGAUUUUGCUUUCUGGAAUAUUACCCCCCCCCCCCCCAAAAAAACCAAAGGCAGAAGAAAAGAAAAAAAUCUUUUGAUGCUCACCAAACUGAGGUCUCAUUAGACUUUGAACAAAAGAGCUCCGCCUCUUGUGUGUACUCGAGGGCGGCGCGCAUCCCCAAAUAUCAGCGACGGCAGGUUGAAAGGCGCAAAAUAAGGUCAGUGUCACCGCGCUGCAUUAUUAAUGGCCGACUGUUUAUCGCCUCGCCCGUUGAAUCGGCGCGGCCUCGCCAUGAAAUAUUGAUGCAAUUUCCCCCGGCUUAACACGGAGAGGAAGCGACGGGAUAAAGAAACGAGGUGUAACGCUGGGUGGCAUGAUGCCCGCUCGCGGCGUGUGUCAAACACGGCGAAGAAAUCGCUGCUCAGCUGGACGCGUGAUCGUGUUCGCAGUACUGUUGAACUUCACCCGCCGUGGCUGUGAAGGGAGAAAAACUCGUGGUGUGACCGCCAUCGUCCCUUGACUUCAACCCUAUCGAGCAGGUUUUAUUGAGCCAAGGUACAUAUUAAUAGUAUCUAACCUGCAAAGCAUCCUUGAAAAUCCAUGAAACCUUGGGUUACAGUAAUAUAAACGAAAUCUGUUUAUUAAAGAAGAAAUAAAAUCUCAUGAUAUGGCCACUA